AUACGGAGGAUCCGAGCGUUAUCCGGAUUUAUUGGGUUUAAAGGGAGCGUAGGCGGGAGAUCAAGUCAGCUGUGAAAUGUAGACGCUCAACGUCUGCAAUGCAGUUGAAACUGGUUUUCUUGAGUGCGCAAGGGGCAGGCGGAAUUUGUCGUGGAGUGGUGAAAUGCUUAGAUAUGACGAAGAACUCCGCUCGCGAAGGCGGCUUGCCGGGCCGCAACUGACGCUGAAGCUCGAAGGUGCGGGUAUCGAACAGGAUUAGAUACCCUGGUAGUCCGCACAGUAAACGAUGGAUACUCGCUGUCGGCGAUAUACGGUCGGUGGCCAAGCGAAAGCGUUAAGUAUCCCACCUGGGGAGUACGCCGGCAACGGUGAAACUUAAAGGAAUUGGCGGGG
rnacentral:rRNA from 1 species